AGAAGACAUGGAAGAAGUUGAUGAAAAUGAUUUUGAUUAUUAGGUUGUGAACAUAUAGAAGUCAAAAGUAUGAUCUGUAUAAUUGAGAAUUGGAGAGAUUCAGGCCUACACUAUUCCUGAAUGGCGAACGUAGAGAUAUACACCAAAACCACCUUUCUUGGUUUAACUCUGUCCCAGAACAAAGCAAAGAACAAGCCAGGAACUGACAUGUAGAGAAGGUAGCGAGGAUUCCAGGCAAAAAUAAACAUACAAAAAAAAAAACACCCUCCCCUAUUGUUGCUACCUUGUCGUGGUGGGGAGGCUUGUGUGCCUCAGUGACCCUGAAGGCUACACCGGCCAGGGUUAUACCCCUGGUAGGUACAACCAAGCCGGGCAGUUUUCAGGUUAGAGGCCAGUCCAAAAGCAGCAUUGCCAUCACCCUCUUUCAAUGUGCUUUCACUGUGAUAAUAGUUCAGGGGAAAAGGAGUAUUUUGGGCAAAUUUUAAUGAGUUUUGAGCUCAUUUGCGUAUUGUUGUCUGGCAAAUUUAACCCACUUUUCCAACUAGGAUUUCAUAAGACUUAUAUUAUUGUUAGUCUAGACACCUUAUAGAAAUGAUGUAUGGUGAAAAGAAACCCUUUCAAUAGGUUUUUUGGGGGGUUAAGUUGUAUGUUUUCAUAUAUUGACCCAUGUAAUUUUCGCCUAGUGUAAUAAAAUAAAAUGCAUGAUAGCACCCAUUUAGCUACCACUGCUGCAAUGCUAUCACAUAUUUUCUUACUCUUUACAUGUAUACAAUGUCAAAAAUCACUGAGCAUUAUUCCCCACAGUUGAUACCGACCAACCCCCCUGGCUCAUGGCCUAUAUGGGAGGAAGGGGGAGAUGAGAGAGGUGAGGCGUGUGUGUGUGUGUGUGUGUGUGUGUGUGUGUGUGUGUGUGUGUGAGUGUGAGUGAGUGAAGAGAAAAAGAGCGGUGUAUGGUAGAGUGGGAAAGUUGAGUGAAUGAAAGGGGGAGAGAGAGAGAGAAGUGUGUGUGUGUGUGUGUGUGUGUGUGUGUGUGUGUGUGUGUGUGUGUGUGUGUGUGUGAGUGCGUGGGUAAGAAAGCGAGAGAGAGAGACAUACCUGUAGGGUUCAACCUCCAGCUUCUGUAGUUUGUCACAUUCGAGGUUGGACAGUGAUGCCAGGUUGAGUCUCUGUUGGGCUAAAGAGGUAUUCACAGCCUCCUGGUUCUGCCGGAACCUUGAGACCAUUGAGAGUGCUGAAUUCCAUCUUUCAACUAGAAAAUGCAAUUUCUGAAGAAAUUGCAAGUGGGAUUGCUCAGUUUGAAAUUGCUAUCACUUAACUGCAAUUGUGAAUGGCUGAAUUUUGAAAGUCUAUGAAAGAUAAGAAAGUUUGAAUUUUAAGGUAGCUUUGAAUUUAUUUGAAUGAUUUGUAUGAAUUCAUUGAAUAGUGCAUAAAUUGUUUUAAAAAAAACAAGAAAGCUCUGAAUCAGCUUGAAUGAGUUGGAAUUUGCUUGAAAAAUACAAUGAUGUAUGAAUUGUAAAAAAUGAUUUAAAACAGGAAAAAUUUAAAUGAUGCAGCUUUUCCGCCAGCUGUGUGUCUCCAGGUGCUCUAAUUGGUUGCCAUGGUGACAGUAGAUGCAUCACGACAGCAGGAGAAAGGAGGCUUGAGGCUGAGAACGUAAUGCCCAAACAACGCCCUAAAUCUCAGCCUCUGUAACUCCUAUCUUCAUGAUAAUGAGCUUGUGAGAACCACAAGUCCCGGCUGAACACGAUGAUACAACUUUUGUGUUUGUGGAGUUUGUGCAUGAAUAUUAAAAAUUGAAUCUACUAUGGAAAAAAUAAAAAAAAAUAAAAAAACCUGAAUGCAUCCCAUAAUGUCCUCAAUGAACUGAAUUUAUUUAGCCUUCGAUGGUUUCUGUAGCUCAAAGUUUGUGGGGAGAGAUAGAUGAGAGAGUUUGUCGAGUGAAGGGCUAUAAAUGUAACCCCCAGUGCUCUGUGUACUGAGCCUGGCUUCAUGUGUCUCAUAAGGCCGUUAGAAGCAGCUUUUCUGCCAGCUGUGUGUCUCCAGGUGCUCUAAUUGGUUGCCAUGGUGAUGGUUGCUGCAUUACUACAGCAGGAGAAAGGGGGCUUGAAGCUGAGAGAGCAAUGUCCAAACAAUGCCCUAAUGCUCUUGCUCUGUAACUGCUGACGUGCCACAAUCCUGUUGUAAAGACAAAGUUUUAAGGAUUAAUUUUCAGCCUGUCUCACUCUAGCGAUGAGGUCACCCACUCUAGCUGCCAUCAUUCCAUGCAAUACACACUAAUGUUAAAACCUGAAGAGGUCAGAAAAUCCUGUGACUGUUUGAACUGUCACAGUGAGAAAAGUAUGAAUGCCAUGAAGAUGGUGAAUGAAUGAGUGAAUGUCUGAAGGUGUGUGAAUAUUUUAAAGUUUGAAUUAAAGUUUCUACAUGGAAGUGUAGAGGAGUUGAAGGCUUUUGAAGUUGUGUGAAGAAAUGUGAGAAAAGGGGCUGUUUUGAACAUUCCGUAAUGCAUUUCUAAUGGGAGAAAUUGGUCGGAAAGCCGGGAAUAUCUCAGAAAUUAUGAAUGUUAGGAAAAAUCUAAAUACACGCCUGAAUCUCCUCAAUGAAAUGAAUAUUUUGGAGUUUGAAUGGUUUGAAUAUGUUGAAGUAUGUGGAAGUAGUUGAGGGCCAAAAAAUGGUGGAAUAACAAUAACUAGAAAAUGCAAUUUCUGAAGAAAUUGCGAGUGGGAUUGCUUCUGUUGAAAUUGCUAUCGCUAAGCUACUAUUGUGAAUGGCUGAAUUUUGAAAAUAUGUGAAAGAUAAGAAGGUUUGAAUCAAUUGGAUGAAUUUGUUGAAUAAUGUGUAAAGAGUAAGAGGAAAAAAUUCAAUUGUGUGAAAAUUGAAAUAAUAAAAAAACAUAUUUAUGAGAAAGGCUUGGAGAAUGGAAGAAGUUUGAACUUGUUGAAAAAUUACUUGUAUUUUGUUUGAAGAAUUCAUUAAUGCAUGAAUAGUGAAAAUUUGAAUGAGUUUGAAUGACUAAAGAAUCGAAUACAAGAUGCUGUUGCAAAUGGCUGAUUUUUGAAGAUAUGUGAAAGAUAAGAAGGAUUGAAUUAUCAGGAAGGUAGAAUCAGUUCUAAUGAAUUCAUUGAAAAAUGUAUGAAGAAAAAGAAUAAAAUCGACAGUCUUGAUUAGACAUAAGAGAACCUGAGAAAAGAAACAAUGGUUUUCCUAUCAGGAUUCGAACCUGUGUCAGCUGUAGGAGAACCCACUGCUUUACCGCUCAGCCACGCAAUUGUUAAGUAUUCACUGAAUUGGCAACAAUGGUUAUAAACCAGCUACAGUCCCUCGGACACACCUAGGACACACACCAUCUGGACCAACUGCCUUCCCAGGGCAAAGUCUUCCAAGCUCCAACUCUUGUGACAGACAAGGACUUGUGUUCUAGGAGGGAGGCAGUUGAAGUGGUUGAGACAUUUGAACGAAACGGAGGAGGAACAGGAGAAAUUUUAGUGGGGAUUUGUUGCAGAGAGGAAGGUGGAGUAGCAGUGGGUACGUCAGCAGUGUGAAAUUUGUUAAAGAACAGGUUGAGCUCAUCAGCUCUUUCUAGAUCACCCUGGCUGUCUUUUCUUUUUAUUCCUGUGUCCAGAGAUGGUAUUGAUUCCUCUCCACACUUCACAGAUGUUGCUGUGUUGUAGAUUCUUCUCUAUCUUCUUUUUGUACUCCAACUUUGCCAUCUUCAGUCUCCUCUUCAACUCCUGUUGCACUUGUUUGAGUCGUUCUUUGUCACCAUCUCUAAAAGCUUUCUUUUUCUGGUUAAAGUUGGACAGAAUCAAAUCACUUUACUCCAAGCUUGUUUAAGCAGUCAAGUUAGGUAUGGUGGGCUCAGACAUUGAAACCAGCUAAUAAGUGCUUACUAAAAGCUGUUUACGUUUGUUUCCAUUGAAAAAUUCAGACAAUUUCAACAUAAAAAACAGCAACUUUCUAGUCUCAAUCUAUUGAUAUUAAUCUGAUUUAAUCUAUAAAAAGACCUGCAUGAAAAUAGGUUUUCUAUUUUUAUCCAUUUUCUUUUACAAGCUGUAGUUUUGUUGCAUAAAGAGGCUGAAAAAACGGAUUUGAAAACUGAAGUAAACACAAAAAAAAACCUUUAUAAACAAAGAGGCCUUUGCAUGGUGCCACAUUACCAAACAUAAAAUAACCGGGCCAAUCAGAGACCGUGUUUCCACUGUUACCGGGACAACAGGGAAAGGCAGCCCCUGAUUGGUCCAUGUGUAGGUGGUGACGUCUAACACAUGCUGCAGGACUUUUCAAAGCCCCGUUCAUUCAGAACGCCCUUAAUUCUGCAGUUGACUCUGCAAAGUCGGCAGAAAUCUUUUAUAUCCAACGUCUUCCGUGGAUAUAAACGAUUUCUGCCGACUUUGCAGAAUACACGCUCCCAAUGGGCCGAAGUCCAGACUGUUGUGGGAAGGAACUGCAAGUGAUUCACUCAACAGGAUGGCCCAGCCAGGCUACAAUUAAUCUAGAUGUUUUACAACCAAUAUUUAAACCCUAUAUAAACCUUUAAUAAAUAGUUCAUAAAUAAUGAAUGAAAAUUAUUAAUCAUAAUUUCAUUGCUUGUUAAUGGUAAAGUAACUAUUAACCUACAUUAAUAAACUAUCUAUUUACCAUUUAUAGUUUGUCUAUAUGCUUUUUUAAAAUGAUGAUUAAACAAUAACAAACUAUCUAUUUACCAUUUAUAAAUUAUUAUCAUUAAAAACGUCUGUGUUAAAUUUCCUCAUUUCUGUGUUUUUAUUUUAGCAUUAGAUUAAAUGUCACAGCUGGCAGAGCCCCUCAAUGUGCUGUAAACCCCCUUAUAAAAAUAAUACAUGGUAAAUAUUGGGCUUAAGCAACAACAAAAAAAGCUAUUGAUUGCUGAUAUUGCCGUCAAUAGUACCUUUUACAAUACAAUUUUUGAAUAUCAACCAGUGACUGUUUUGGUUUGAUAUAUAGUUACGGGGAAUAAUAAAGAUGUGUUAUUAUUUAAAAAUCAUGUGUUGCCCGGUAUGACCUCAUCAUGACUGAGAUUAUAAAAGGCAGGAACCACCACAGCAGAGAUCAUUUCACCUCGAAACACACACCUGUUAACUUGUUAACUUGUGAGCCGGAGAGAGAAAUACUAGCAACCCAUUGAGAGAGAGAGAGAUUUGAAUCACAGAGAAGAAGGAAAUCAAUAGAGAGAGAGAGAGAGAAGGAGAGAGGUGGAGAAGGAGCUAGAGAGAUCGUGAGAUCGACGGAUCUGAAGAUUCAGAAACCCUGAAAUCGAUUGACUGAGAGAUCCAGAGAGCAACAGAUCCAGAGAUCCAGAAAUUAUGAGAUCCAGAGAUCAAGAGAAUUGUUUCAUUUGUCUUAUUUGAGCGAAAUGGAAAUUGAACCUGAGAGAAUGGAAGAAAUCCCCAUCCCUCCCACGAUCCCGGUGAACCUGGCAGAGGUAAUACACCUCACUGUUUCCAGGAUUUUUGAGGAUCCUGAUGAGUUUCUGGAGAGUAAUGAUCUGUUGGAGGACACAGAUGCCACCUCCAGACGAACAUGUGCUGCUAAAGAUGUGGACAUCUUCACCUCUGUGCGGUCUUCUGCAGAGUCAGACAUCUCUGCAACCACAUUUGACACCCUACCAGAGGAGAGCAGGAGUCUGUCCUUCAUCGAGCAUGAGCGAGAGAGCGAGCAUGAGCAAGAGAGUGAGCAUGAGCAAGAGAGCAAGCGAGUCCCUACUCCUGGAAAAGACUGAAGCGCUUCACAAAGCAAACAAAACAAUCACCAAACUCAAACUCCGUAUUCAAAAACUCCCCGAUGAGCUCAAAUCAAAAUCCACUCUCCUCACAACCUGUAUUGAUGUGGCCCACCAGCAAUCCCUCCACCUAUUCUCCCUCCAAACAACCCUCCAGGACACGCUACCCUGGGAGCCUCAAAGCCCGACGACCCGACCACGUCCCGACCACCAUCCACCACAGCACCCAACCAGGAUUCAACAUGGACUGAAGUGACCACUCACGGCAGGAAAAUCACCAACACCACCCCCUGGAACCCGGCCGGGCCUACCUCAAGCUCCACGCCGAGCAAUCCACUGACCCGGUCCGAGGUCCUUGCCGGCGUCAGGACAAAUCCUUCCAAUGAUGCCUCUACAAUCCGGUUGUCCCUCUCUAACCGCUUCGAGGCCCUUGAGAAUCCUCCUAAGCCUGCCAACACUAGAAUGAACCAGUCCCUUCUCUGCGGUGACGUGGUGGCAUCCUCUACAGCGGCUGCCGGAGCUCCCAUGGCUCCUACACGGCCACCCGGCUGAGCCCCCGGGCCUUCGUUCACGUCCUCCGGUCCCCUCGCAGCGUGCCCGCUCGAGGAUCGGGCAGCCUCUGCUCUUCUGGUGACCAGCUCCCGGGCGUCACCGGGCGCUGGCGCUAAGAACACCUCCCUGCCGGUGUACAGAGGGAUUCCCGUGUGGCCUGGCACUGGCGGAGGGGACCCUUCUCCGUCGGUCCCUGGUCGCGCGCGGUGUCCCGGAACCCGCCUUGACCACUGCUCUGAGAGCCGGCCUGCGUCCUCGGCCGCCCGCAAGAGGUUUCUCCGAGAGGCAGUCCGACGGAACUCCGCCGGGCCCGCAUCAGCCGCCCCAGACCGAAAUGGCAGACCAUCCCGCAGCCGCUGGCAUCCACCCUCGUACCCCGGCCACCUGCCCUGCUUCGGAUUCAGGAGCCAUGCACCCCGUGCCGCUGUUUCCCCCCACCACCUUGAUCAUCGGUGACAGCAUCAUAUGAGGUAUUCAUUUUUUUAAUGCAAUCACUCGCGCUUUCCCCGGUGCGACUGUCGCCGACAUCACAGCAAAACUCCCCGGUCUUCUCCAGUCACUUCCUGCCUCUAUCCACCGUAUCAUUGUUCACGUUGGCACCAAUGACACGGCUCACCAACAGUCUGAACUGACAAAAAAUGACUUCAGAAAACUUCGUGAUAGCCUUCGGUGCAGCGGCAAAACUGUUUGUAUAAGUGGUCCGCUUCCCACACUGACACGUAGCAUCGAUCGUUUUAGGUGCCUCCUCAGCCUAAACUCCUGGCUUCGAGCCCUCUGCAGCACCCUCUCCACCCACUUCGUUGACAAUUUUAACCUGUUCUGGAACCGACCCCCAUUUUUCUCUAAUGACAGACUUCACCCAAACAAACUGGGCCAUCAGACACUUGCCGCUAAUAUCCAACACCACAUACACACCAACUGACUUACAUUGUUAACACACUUCCUGUCAUCUUCUUCCACUACUGUUGUGGAAAAUCCAGCAUAAACAGUGCACAGGACACAGGAUGAGAUCUGAAGAACAGCCUGGACGUCUUUUAUUGUACAGAUGUAGAAAUCAGUACAGAUGACAAACAGAGUCUUGACCAAGACCGAAGGAAGCCUCCCUAGCUUUUCUUCUACUCUCUUUUAUGCUGUUAGGUGUGUGUGUGUGUGUGUGUGUGUGUGUGUGUGUGUGUGUGUGUGUGUGUGUGUGUGUGUGUGUGUGUGUGUGAAUUCUCCAGAAGGCCCCUCAUGAUGACAUGUCUGCCCCAAGACACUUUGUUAAGGUUCGUCUUGACCCUUGCAGAGAUUAAAUGUUCCAACAAACAGAUAGUUCAGACUCCUGCAAGACAGCCUUGCUUAAAAUCUCGGGGUCGUGGGGCUGCAGGAGCAGGCCAACCUAGAUUAUUUGUAGCUUCUUACUAAAAGAUAAUUACUCUACAUUUCUUAACCUAAAUGUAUGAAGAGAUUCUCCUACACUACCCCAUCUGGAAACAGCGCCCCCCUGAAACAGAGGCCCCCCUCCAGGGACUCUCGCCCUCACCACCCCCACCACUGGCUCCCCCAACAGGCCCCAACUGGUACUACACACCAACCCCACCGCCCCCACUACAUCAAGCUCCCCCUCCUGGUCCAAACGGCUACUACACCCUCCAACCACAGACUCUCCUUGCAAACAAUUGCAAACAAUUCAAACAAUUACAACUACUGGACCCUCCCGCUCAAAUCCCAUUCAUCUAAAAAGAAGGACAAGAAAUCAAAUAAACCUCCGCUGCCUUCUCCCUGCCUCACUGCCCACCCCACAGCCCCCUCCCCUGAAGAU